rnacentral:lncRNA from 1 species
AGAUAAACCAAAGUGGUACAUGGCUCAUAACUCAAACAUUUCAUUUUCGACAGCUGUUAAUUUUCUUGCCCAGGCUAAUUUGGAUUAUUCAAUCAUUUUCUUUUCUUUAAUGAAAAACUGCUUGUAGUUACUGGUGGGGACAAAGAGCUGCAAUUAUGGACCUUGGAAG